CGGCGGACGGGUGAGUAAUGCCUAGGAAUCUGCCUGGUAGUGGGGGACAACGUUUCGAAAGGAACGCUAAUACCGCAUACGUCCUACGGGAGAAAGCAGGGGACCUUCGGGCCUUGCGCUAUCAGAUGAGCCUAGGUCGGAUUAGCUAGUUGGUGAGGUAAUGGCUCACCAAGGCGACGAUCCGUAACUGGUCUGAGAGGAUGAUCAGUCACACUGUAACUGAGACACGGUCCAGACUCCUACGGGAGGCAGCAGAG
rnacentral:rRNA from 1 species